AAACCAUCGAGAGAAGAAGUCUAAGUGUGUUCGUCGUUAUUGCUGCCAUCCAGGCAGCAAGGCUCUGUACAAGUGGUGGCCCGUAUGGGGACUUCGUGUCAAAGUGACCCGUAGGAGACUCCAGAACUCUCGAUGGAACAGGGCGAUCGAUCGGAAAGUGCUCGGACCAUCGAGAUAGCGAUUGACAAGGCCUGGUGGAGAGCCAAGCGGAGCCGAAAUAGAGGACCACAGUGGGCGGGCAUAGCACUCUGGGGAGUUUUGUUCCUCCUGGGUUGUGUCCUCUGUUACUUUGCAGAAUGAAAAGGGAGCAUGCUAAACAUAAAGCAGUGGUUUACCAAGCCUUGGUGGCUAUUGAGAAUGACACAUCUCCCAGUGUUUGGCUGGCCUCACUAAAACAAUAAUCCGCCUCAAACACUCAGGGUUGGUGAAACGCACCAGCUCCAUGGCACCCCAAAGACGGGCAACCUUACCUGAGCACAGACCAACCUAAGACACAGAGCCCUCAGGCUGGGGGAGGGGGGUUAAUCCUAUGACGGGUAAGGCUGUGAUCUCGAAGUGGAAUGACCCAAGCCAGAGACCAUGGCAGAGUGCAUCACCCCCUGAUCUAUUGUGAGCAGCCUUCAAAUAAA